CCUACGGGUGGCUGCAGUGGGGAAUCUUGCGCAAUGGGCGAAAGCCUGACGCAGCCAUGCCGCGUGAAUGAUGAAGGUCUUAGGAUUGUAAAAUUCUUUCACCGGGGACGAUAAUGACGGUACCCGGAGAAGAAGCCCCGGCUAACUUCGCGCCAGCAGCCGCGGUAAUACGAAGGGGGCUAGCGUUGCUCGGAAUUACUGGGCGUAAAGGGCGCGUAGGCGGACAUUUAAGUCAGGGGUGAAAUCCCAGAGCUCAACUCUGGAACUGCCUUUGAUACUGGGUGUCUUGAGUGUGAGAGAGGUAUGUGGAACUCCGAGUGUAGAGGUGAAAUUCGUAGAUAUUCGGAAGAACACCAGUGGCGAAGGCGACAUACUGGCUCAUUACUGACGCUGAGGCGCGAAAGCGUGGGGAGCAAACAGGAUUAGAUACCCUUGUAGUC
rnacentral:rRNA from 1 species